rnacentral:rRNA from 1 species
AAAUUGAAGAGUUUGAUCAUGGCUCAGAUUGAACGCUGGCGGCAGGCCUAACACAUGCAAGUCGAACGGUAACAGGAAGCAGCUUGCUGCUUCGCUGACGAGUGGCGGACGGGUGAGUAAUGUCUGGGAAACUGCCUGAUGGAGGGGGAUAACUACUGGAAACGGUGGCUAAUACCGCAUAACGUCGCAAGACCAAAGAGGGGGACCUUCGGGCCUCUUGCCAUCAGAUGUGCCCAGAUGGGAUUAGCUUGUUGGUGAGGUAACGGCUCACCAAGGCGACGAUCCCUAGCUGGUCUGAGAGGAUGACCAGCCACACUGGAACUGAGACACGGUCCAGACUCCUACGGGAGGCAGCAGUGGGGAAUAUUGCACAAUGGGCGCAAGCCUGAUGCAGCCAUGCCGCGUGUAUGAAGAAGGCCUUCGGGUUGUAAAGUACUUUCAGCGGGGAGGAAGGUGUUGUGGUUAAUAACCGCAGCAAUUGACGUUACCCGCAGAAGAAGCACCGGCUAACUCCGUGCCAGCAGCCGCGGUAAUACGGAGGGUGCAAGCGUUAAUCGGAAUUACUGGGCGUAAAGCGCACGCAGGCGGUCUGUCAAGUCGGAUGUGAAAUCCCCGGGCUCAACCUGGGAACUGCAUUCGAAACUGGCAGGCUUGAGUCUUGUAGAGGGGGGUAGAAUUCCAGGUGUAGCGGUGAAAUGCGUAGAGAUCUGGAGGAAUACCGGUGGCGAAGGCGGCCCCCUGGACAAAGACUGACGCUCAGGUGCGAAAGCGUGGGGAGCAAACAGGAUUAGAUACCCUGGUAGUCCACGCCGUAAACGAUGUCUACUUGGAGGUUGUGCCCUUGAGGCGUGGCUUCCGGAGCUAACGCGUUAAGUAGACCGCCUGGGGAGUACGGCCGCAAGGUUAAAACUCAAAUGAAUUGACGGGGGCCCGCACAAGCGGUGGAGCAUGUGGUUUAAUUCGAUGCAACGCGAAGAACCUUACCUGGUCUUGACAUCCACAGAAGAAUCCAGAGAUGGAUUGGUGCCUUCGGGAACUGUGAGACAGGUGCUGCAUGGCUGUCGUCAGCUCGUGUUGUGAAAUGUUGGGUUAAGUCCCGCAACGAGCGCAACCCUUAUCCUUUGUUGCCAGCGGUUAGGCCGGGAACUCAAAGGAGACUGCCAGUGAUAAACUGGAGGAAGGUGGGGAUGACGUCAAGUCAUCAUGGCCCUUACGACCAGGGCUACACACGUGCUACAAUGGCGCAUACAAAGAGAAGCGACCUCGCGAGAGCAAGCGGACCUCAUAAAGUGCGUCGUAGUCCGGAUUGGAGUCUGCAACUCGACUCCAUGAAGUCGGAAUCGCUAGUAAUCGUGGAUCAGAAUGCCACGGUGAAUACGUUCCCGGGCCUUGUACACACCGCCCGUCACACCAUGGGAGUGGGUUGCAAAAGAAGUAGGUAGCUUAACCUUCGGGAGGGCGCUUACCACUUUGUGAUUCAUGACUGGGGUGAAGUCGUAACAAGGUAACCGUAGGGGAACCUGCGGUUGGAUCACCUCCUUA